rnacentral:rRNA from 1 species
ACUCCUACGGGAGGCAGCAGUCGGGAAUUUUGGGCAAUGGGCGAAAGCCUGACCCAGCAACGCCGCGUGAAGGAUGAAGUAUUUCGGUAUGUAAACUUCGAAAGAAUGGGAAGAAUCAAUGACGGUACCAUUUAUAAGGUCCGGCUAACUACGUGCCAGCAGCCGCGGUAAU